rnacentral:rRNA from 1 species
GGUUAAGCGAAUAAGCGUACACGGUGGAUGCCUAGGCAAUCAGAGGCGAUGAAGGACGUGCUAAUCUGCGAAAAGCGUCGGUAAGGUGAUAUGAACCGUUAUACCCGACGAUAUCCGAAUGGGGAAACCCAGUAUCCAAUGGAUACUAUCAUUAACUGAAUCCAUAGGUUAAUGAGGCGAACCGGGAGAACUGAAACAUCUCAGUACCCCGAGGAAAAGAAAUCAACCGAGAUUCCCCUAGUAGCGGCGAGCGAACGGGGAGCAGCCCAGAGUCUUAAUCAAUAGCAGUGUCAGGAGAACGGUCUGGAAAGUCCGGCAGUAAAGGGUGAUAGCCCCGUAUCUGAAGAUGCUGUUAUUGUGAACUCGACGAGUAGGGCGGGACACGUGUUAUCCUGUCUGAAUAUGGGGGGACCAUCCUCCAAGGCUAAAUACUCCUGAUUGACCGAUAGUGAACCAGUACCGUGAGGGAAAGGCGAAAAGAACCCCGGCGAGGGGAGUGAAAAAGAACCUGAAACCGUGUACGUACAAGCAGUAGGAGCCUCUUUAUGGGGUGACUGCGUACCUUUUGUAUAAUGGGUCAGCGACUUAUAUUCUGUAGCAAGGUUAACCGUAUAGGGGAGCCGUAGGGAAACCGAGUCUUAACUGGGCGAAUGAGUUGCAGGGUAUAGACCCGAAACCCGGUGAUCUAUCCAUGGGCAGGUUGAAGGUUGGGUAACACUAACUGGAGGACCGAACCGACUAAUGUUGAAAAAUUAGCGGAUGACUUGUGGAUGGGGGUGAAAGGCCAAUCAAACCGGGAGAUAGCUGGUUCUCCCCGAAAGCUAUUUAGGUAGCGCCUCGUGAACUCAUCUUCGGGGGUAGAGCACUGUUUCGACUAGGGGGUCAUCCCGACUUACCAACUCGAUGCAAACUGCGAAUACCGAAGAAUGUUAUCACGGGAGACACACGGCGGGUGCUAACGUCCGUCGUGAAGAGGGAAACAACCCAGACCGCCAGCUAAGGUCCCAAAGUCAUGGUUAAGUGGGAAACGAAGUGGGAAGGCUCAGACAGCCAGGAUGUUGGCUUAGAAGCAGCCAUCAUUUAAAGAAAGCGUAAUAGCUCACUGGUCGAGUCGGCCCGCGCGGAAGAUGUAACGGGGCUAAACCAUGCACCGAAGCUGCGGCAGCGACACAAUGUGUUGUUGGGUAGGGGAGCGUUCUGUAAGCCUGCGAAGGUGUACUGUGAGGUAUGCUGGAGGUAUCAGAAGUGCGAAUGCUGACAUAAGUAACGAUAAUGCGGGUGAAAAACCCGCACGCCGGAAGACCAAGGGUUCCUGUCCAACGUUAAUCGGGGCAGGGUGAGUCGACCCCUAAGGCGAGGCUGAAAAGCGUAGUCGAUGGGAAACGGGUUAAUAUUCCCGUACUGGUGGUAACUGCGAUGGGGGAACGGAGAAGGCUAGGUUGUCCGGGCGACGGUCGUCCCGGUUCAAGCAGGUAGGCAGAGUGAUUAGGCAAAUCCGGUCACUUAAUGCUGAGAUGUGAUGACGAACCACCAAGGUGGUGAAGCAAUUGAUGCCCCGCUUCCAGGAAAAGCCUCUAAGCUUCAGGUUACCAACAAUCGUACCCCAAACCGACACAGGUGGUCAGGUAGAGAAUACUCAGGCGCUUGAGAGAACUCGGGUGAAGGAACUAGGCAAAAUGGUGCCGUAACUUCGGGAGAAGGCACGCUGGCGGUAGGUAAAGUCCCUUGCGGACGGCGCCCAAGCCAGUCGAAGAUACCAGCUGGCUGCAACUGUUUAUUAAAAACACAGCACUGUGCAAACACGAAAGUGGACGUAUACGGUGUGACGCCUGCCCGGUGCUGGAAGGUUAAUUGAUGGGGUCAGCCGCAAGGCGAAGCUCCUGAUCGAAGCCCCAGUAAACGGCGGCCGUAACUAUAACGGUCCUAAGGUAGCGAAAUUCCUUGUCGGGUAAGUUCCGACCUGCACGAAUGGCGUAAUGAUGGCCAGGCUGUCUCCACCCGAGACUCAGUGAAAUUGAACUCGCUGUGAAGAUGCAGUGUACCCGCGGCAAGACGGAAAGACCCCGUGAACCUUUACUAUAGCUUGACACUGAACAUUGAGCCUUGAUGUGUAGGAUAGGUGGGAGGCUUUGAAGUGUGGACGCCAGUCUGCAUGGAGCCAACCUUGAAAUACCACCCUUUAACGUUUGAUGUUCUAACCUAGGCCCAUAAACUGGGUCGGGGACCGUGUCUGGUGGGUAGUUUGACUGGGGCGGUCUCCUCCUAAAGAGUAACGGAGGAGCACGAAGGUUGGCUAAGCAUGGUCGGACAUCAUGCGGUUAGUGCAAAGGCAUAAGCCAGCUUGACUGCGAGAGUGACGGCUCGAGCAGGUACGAAAGUAGGUCUUAGUGAUCCGGUGGUUCUGAAUGGAAGGGCCAUCGCUCAACGGAUAAAAGGUACUCCGGGGAUAACAGGCUGAUACCGCCCAAGAGUUCAUAUCGACGGCGGUGUUUGGCACCUCGAUGUCGGCUCAUCACAUCCUGGGGCUGAAGUAGGUCCCAAGGGUAUGGCUGUUCGCCAUUUAAAGUGGUACGCGAGCUGGGUUUAGAACGUCGUGAGACAGUUCGGUCCCUAUCUGCCGUGGGCGUUGGAAGAUUGAGAGGGGUUGCUCCUAGUACGAGAGGACCGGAGUGAACGCACCACUGGUGUUCGGGUUGUCAUGCCAAUGGCAUUGCCCGGUAGCUAAGUGCGGAAGAGAUAACCGCUGAAAGCAUCUAAGCGGGAAACUUGCCUCGAGAUGAGUCUUCCCUGUCGCUUAAAGUGACCUAAAGGAACGUUUAAGACGAAGACGUUGAUAGGCUGGGUGUGUAAGCGUAGCGAUACGUUGAGCUAACCAGUACUAAUGAACCGUGAGGCUUAACCUG